ensembl:lncRNA
GUGGACGGAUCUCACUAACAUGCUAUUGAGUGACAAGAAACAAAACACAAAAGAACACAUUCUCUAUAAUUCUAUUUACUUAAAGUACAAAACAGGCAAAACUAGUCCUGGUGUUGGAAGGCGGGGUAGGGAUUACCCGAUUGGGGGAAAGAGCUGAGGGGGCAUUGAGGGUGCAGGUCCUGUUCUGUUGCUCGAUGUGGCUGCUAGUUAAACAGGUGUGUGCAGUUCGUGAACAAGCAUCUAGCUGUGCACCGGGCACCUUUAAUACUGCAAUGAAAUAUACAUUACAACAAUUGCGUGGGGUUUUGCCCAGGCGGUGUAGCCGUCCUCAGUAACAUUUCCAUUAAAAAAGACCUGCUGGGGGCUUGGAGCCCCAGUUAGGCGCUCACUCCUGCAGAGAUCCGCGCGGCCCCACCCUCCCUGUAGUCUCGGCGCGCAGCCAGGCCAGCGAGGGCGCACCGCGCUGCCUAACGCGCAGCAGAGGAGACUCCAGUCCCGAAACCCGAGAGGGGCCGCCCAGCGCUCUCAGCCGGCUCGCAGAGCCGGGGCCUGGCUCAGGGAGCUUCAGGGCAAGAAACACCCGAGGCUAGAUGCUCCCAAGAAUACAAAGAUAAAGAAGAUUGCCGGCACUUGCCCAGAUGCCUGGUAUGUAAUGACCUUACUGAUUACUUUUUCCCAUUUUAAAGAUAUUAUUGUUUAAGUGAUGCUACCUUCUGAAAAUGACACUAACUGAAACUUUAUGUCUUCCUAUGACGGGUGGUUUUAUUUGAUUGUCAGUAGAGACUACUUGGAACAGACAAUAUGUAGGUUUUACAUAUUCUUCCAGGCUCAUAGAGCAUGAAAAGGACCAUUUCCUGCAAGUAUUUUGUAACCUGAGGAAUUAUAAUAUUUUGUUUUAUUGCUAAUUUCCAGAAAAGAUUGUUCUGGAACACAUCUCAGUACUAUUAGUUUUAGGUCUAAAAGUUCCAAAUGAAGCUUAUUGAAAGCUAAGAAACAUAAUAUUUAGGCUCUUUCUGAGGUUUGUGGAACUUUUUUGAUAUUUGCCUUGUCUGACAGCCUCCCUGCAGUGACAAAAGGCAAUAUAUAUUCUUUCGACAAAGAAGAUUUUAAGUGAAUGAUGUUACGGGUGGGACUUGGUCCUAACUCAGAGCAUGUAAUUCUCAUCUCCUAUAAUCAAAGAGAUAAAAAUACCCAGGGAAGGGCAUUUUGUCAUUUAAAUCACACUUAAGAAUCUUCCUGUUUUCUUAGUCUAAAUAAUUAUUGAACAAUAGUUAUUUUCACAUUUUUGGCCGUUCUACUAUGCAAAACAUUGUAAGUAAUGAAUGUGGAUUGACCAAAUGAUCUGUCCAAAAACUCUGCAUUCUUUGGUACUAAUGAACACUAUAAUUAUUCUACAAUGUGUAUGUGUAUAUAUAUAUAUAUAUAUAUAUAUAUAUAUAUAUAUAUAUAUAUAAAUUUCCUAACCUAAAACAUCCACUUAGAAAUAUAUAUAUUUGUUAUAACAUAUAUAUAUAUAUUUGUUAUAAUAUAUAUGUUAGCCUGGGAUAGCUCUAUAUCCCCUAACCUCAAAACACCCAAAAUAUGGAUAUCUUGGCUAACAAAAUAACAGGCUAACAUUCGCACAUUGUAUGUUGGAAAUUUCAAGUUCAUCAUUAGCUAGUCCUAACCUAAAACAUAAUGAUGACCAUACUGAAAAUCCCAGUUAACAUCUGUUAAGGAUACAGACCAAACAGUGUGUCUUUUGGGAAUUCUUUUAAUCUUCCUUUUAGCCUUGAGAAGGCUGAACAAUAUCUUCAGCAAAAGUAGGGAAUUGUACACUUAAUUGUUACUUGUUUUAAAGCAUAAAUGUCACUGAAAUAGAGAAUAUUGAAAAUGAAACUAGAUUAAAGCCUUAAAAAAUAUAUAAUGAAUAAUCUCAUAGAGCCACUCUUCUAGUCUGUUCUGACUUGCUGCACAGAUGCUGUUGAGUGUCCAGGGUUCUGUGGCACAUUUGAACUUGUGCCAAAUACCAAGGAAAUAUGAUCAAGUAGCUUCCAAGCUAAUUUUGGUAAAUGAGGACACAUUUUAGAAAUGCAUACUCACUUCAUUAAAAUAACUUUGUUUUACGUACUUUCCCCUCAUUCUACUCUUCUCCAUGGACUAACAUAUUGCUUGCUUUUUAGAUUUGGAUGGUAAUUCACUAGUUAGAUAACUUAUUUAAUUUAAUGCUGCCAAGGGCAUUAGUUCUCCUUGACUCAAAAUAACAAGUAACAAUCAACAGGAGUUUAAACUUGAGAUACUUGAGUGACUAUUACACACUAUUAAUUCAUUAUGCCCCCACUCUCCUAAACACUUUAGAAGUAUGUUUCACUGUAUUACUCACAGCAAUCCCAUGAGGUAGAUUCUAUCGCUAUUGCUGUUUUGUAGCUAGGGAAACAGAGUCUCACAGAACUUAAGUAACGAACCCAAGGUUCCAAAGCCAGUAAAAUGUGGCGAUCCAGUACUUACAAUCAAUUCUGCUUAACAUCUGAGUCUAAAACCUAACCCUUAUGUGAUAUCACAUCUUUGAAAGCAGCACAUGUAGUUCUUGAUGUCUCUGGAUGGUCUUUGCUGAGGUGUCUUGUUCGUUUCUUUGUGGCAUCACUAUCUUCUCUCAUGUUACUGAUGAUCUCAGCAAUAACUUCUUUAGAGUUGUCUUUUCCUUGUACAACCUCUGUUUCUUUUAGUUUACUCUUUUCUGGUUGUUUUUGUCUCUAGCUUCCACGUUACAGGAGAGGUUUUCAACACUAGGCAUCAUCAGAAUCACUGAGGGAGCUUUAAAAAAAUGCUGAUGCUUAGGCCACAACGGACAAGCAAACGUCUGCUACUGGGAUGUGUUUCUUCAUGGCUUGCCAGUUGAUUCUAAUGUUCACACUGGGGCAAUCCUUGGAUGUCUAUAUGUCUGUAUUUAAGAGUAGAAGACUAACAAGCUCAUUGGGAAACAGGCCCAGAUGGCUUAAUUAGUGAAAUCUAUUUAGCACUUAAAAAAAAUUAUCGAUUUUACACAAAAUCUUUCAGAAAGUGGAGAAUGAUACCCCUAUUCAACUCAUUUCAUGAAGUCAAUAACACCCUGAUACCAAGGCCAGACAGAAGCAUUAAAAAUACACACUUAAAGAGACAUAAAUAUAAAUAUUUAAAAUUUUUUAUUUAAAAAUGAAAAAUAAAAUACAGAUAUUUAAAUAAAUACCUG